rnacentral:tRNA from 63 species
CGCGGGAUGGAGCAGCUCGGUAGCUCGUCAGGCUCAUAACCUGAAGGUCGUAGGUUCAAAUCCUACUCCCGCAACCA